rnacentral:tRNA from 1 species
AAAAUCCGUCGACUUUAAAAAUCGUGNGGGUUCAAGUCCCUGUNUCCC